GCACUGUUGAAGCGUUCCACAAUAGGACGAAACGGCCGUCCAGUAC
rfam:Schistosoma margrebowiei strain Zambia genome assembly, scaffold: SMRZ_contig0000206